rnacentral:rRNA from 1 species
GAUGAACGCUGGCGGCGUGCCCAAUACAUGCAAGUCGAGCGAACAGACGAGGAGCUUGCUCCUCUGACGUUAGCGGCGGACGGGUGAGUAACACGUGGAUAACCUACCUAUAAGACUGGGAUAACUUCGGGAAACCGGAGCUAAUACCGGAUAAUAUAUUGAACCGCAUGGUUCAAUAGUGAAAGACGGUUUUGCUGUCACUUAUAGAUGGAUCCGCGCCGCAUUAGCUAGUUGGUAAGGUAACGGCUUACCAAGGCAACGAUGCGUAGCCGACCUGAGGGGGUGAUCGGCCACACUGGAACUGAGAGACGGUCCAGACUCCUACGGGAGGCAGCAGUAGGGAAUCUUCCGAAAUGGGCGAAAGCCUGACGGAGCAACGCCGCGUGAGUGCUGAAGGUCUUCGGAUCGUAAAACUCUGUUAUUAGGGAAGAACAAAUGUGUAAGUAACUAUGCACGUCUUGACGGUACCUAAUCAGAAAGCCACGGCUAACUACGUG